GGAAGUAAAAGUNGUAACAAGGUCUCCGUUGGGGAACCAGCGGAGGGAUCAUUACUGAGU
rnacentral:rRNA from 1 species